GCUAGUGUGGCAGAGUGUAUGUAUCAAAUUUAAGUUUUGAGGAGAUUUCUAGCU
rnacentral:tRNA from 1 species